rnacentral:rRNA from 1 species
GACGAACGCUGGCGGCGUGCCUAAUACAUGCAAGUCGAGCGAAUCUUCUGGAACUUGUUCCGGAAGGUUAGCGGCGGACGGGUGAGUAACACGUGGGCAACCUGCCUGUAAGACUGGGAUAACACCGGGAAACCGGUGCUAAUACCGGAUAAUCCUUUUCCUCUCAUGAGGAAAAGCUGAAAGUCGGUUUCGGCUGACACUUACAGAUGGGCCCGCGGCGCAUUAGCUAGUUGGUGAGGUAACGGCUCACCAAGGCGACGAUGCGUAGCCGACCUGAGAGGGUGAGCGGCCACACUGGGACUGAGACACGGCCCAGACUCCUACGGGAGGCAGCAGUAGGGAAUCUUCCACAAUGGACGAAAGUCUGAUGGAGCAACGCCGCGUGAGCGAUGAAGGCCUUCGGGUCGUAAAGCUCUGUUGUUAGGGAAGAACAAGUACCGGAGUAACUGCCGGUACCUUGACGGUACCUAACCAGAAAGCCACGGCUAACUACGUGCCAGCAGCCGCCGUAACAC